rnacentral:rRNA from 1 species
GAUGAACGCUGGCGGCGUGCCUAAUACAUGCAAGUCGAGCGAACAGAUGAGGAGCUUGCUCCUCUGACGUUAGCGGCGGACGGGUGAGUAACACGUGGAUAACCUACCUAUAAGACUGGGAUAACUUCGGGAAACCGGAGCUAAUACCGGAUAAUAUAUUGAACCGCAUGGUUCAAUAGUGAAAGACGGUUUUGCUGUCACUUAUAGAUGGAUCCGCGCCGCAUUAGCUAGUUGGUAAGGUAACGGCUUACCGAGGCAACGAUGCGUAGCCGACCUGAGAGGGUGAUCGGCCACACUGGAACUGAGACACGGUCCAGACUCCUACGGGAGGCAGCAGUAGGGAAUCUUCCGCAAUGGGCGAAAGCCUGACGGAGCAACGCCGCGUGAGUGAUGAAGGUCUUCGGAUCGUAAAACUCUGUUAUUAGGGAAGAGCAAAUGUGUAAGUAACUAUGCACGUCUUGACGGUACCUAAUCAGAAAGCCACGGCUAACUACGUG